GGGUAAUUGGUCAUUAAAUAUUGAGGAUGGGAACUCAGAUGUGCUGGCAAGUUCUUGGAGUAAGCAUCCUGCAGCCAACUAGAACAAUAUUUAAGAAAAAGUUAUCAAAAGUAAAGAUUGACAAGUGAAAGGAGAAAAGGCAUAGGAAAUGUGGAAAUGGAAAUUUGCCUAGGUGAAAUAAAACAAGGAGGAAAAAAAUUAGGCACAGAAUAAUCAC
rnacentral:lncRNA from 1 species